rnacentral:rRNA from 1 species
CUGAGGUGGAAGUGUGGCGACACAUGGAGCUGACAGAUACUAAUCGAUCGAGGACUUAACCACAUUU